ensembl:rRNA 5S_rRNA 5S ribosomal RNA
GUCUAUGGCCAUACCACCCUGAAUGUGCCCGGUCUCGUCUGAUCUCGGAAGCUAAGCAGGGUCGGGCCUGGUUAGUACUUGGAAGGGAGACUAUCAACCCCAUGAAAUCAGUGAAU